ACGCGAGGGAAGUAGACUCUAGAUGGUAGGUGGAGGAAUGUAGACUGAUGCUGGCUGAUGACUGAUGACUGAUGGCUGAUGGCUGAUGGCUGAUGGCUGAUGGCUGAUGGCUGAUGUUCUGGUGGUUG
rnacentral:snoRNA from 1 species